AUUGAACGCUGGCGGCAGGCUUAACACAUGCAAGUCGAGCGGGGUGAUGGUGCUUGCACUAUCACUUAGCGGCGGACGGGUGAGUAAUGCUUAGGAAUCUGCCUAUUAGUGGGGGACAACAUCUCGAAAGGGAUGCUAAUACCGCAUACGUCCUACGGGAGAAAGCAGGGGAUCACUUGUGACCUUGCGCUAAUAGAUGAGCCUAAGUGGGAUUAGCGAGUUGGUGGGGUAAAGGCCUACCAAGGGGACGAUCUGUAGCGGGUCUGAGAGGAUGAUCCGCCACACUGGGACUGAGACACGGCCCAGACUCCUACGGGAGGCAGCAGUGGGGAAUAUUGGACAAUGGGGGGAACCCUGAUCUAGCCAUGCCGCGUGUGUGAAGAAGGCCUUAUGGUUGUAAAGCACUUUAAGCGAGGAGGAGGCUCUUUUGGUUAAUACCCAAGAUGAGUGGACGUUACUCGCAGAAUAAGCACCGGCUAACUCUGUGCCAGCCGCCGCCGUAA
rnacentral:rRNA from 1 species